GUGGGGAAUUUUGGACAAUGGGCGCAAGCCUGAUCCAGCCAUUCCGCGUGCAGGAUGAAGGCCUUCGGGUUGUAAACUGCUUUUGUACGGAACGAAAAGCCUCUGGUUAAUACCCGGGGGUCAUGACGGUACCGUAAGAAUAAGCACCGGCUAACUACGUGCCAGCAGCCGCGGUAAUACGUAGGGUGCGAGCGUUAAUCGGAAUUACUGGGCGUAAAGCGUGCGCAGGCGGUGAUGUAAGACAGUUGUGAAAUCCCCGGGCUCAACCUGGGAACUGCAUCUGUGACUGCAUUGCUGGAGUGCGGCAGAGGGGGAUGGAAUUCCGCGUGUAGCAGUGAAAUGCGUAGAUAUGCGGAGGAACACCGAUGGCGAAGGCAAUCCCCUGGGCCUGCACUGACGCUCAUGCACGAAAGCGUGGGGAGCAAACAGGAUUAGAUACCCCUGUAGUCC
rnacentral:rRNA from 1 species